AAGUCGUAACAAGGUCUCCGUAGGUGAACCUGCGGAGGGAUCAUUAUCACAAUAACAAGGCGGGCUUGGACACCCCCCGCUGGCACUGCUUCACGGCGUUGCGCGGCGGGCCGGCCUGCUGAAUUAUUCACCCGUGUCUUUUGGUACUUCUUGUUCCAUGGUGGGCUCGCCGCCUCAGGACAACACAAACCUUUGCAAUAGCAAUCACGUCAGUAACAACGUAAUUAAUACAA
rnacentral:misc_RNA from 1 species